UGUGGAUAAGAAUGAGUUGCUCCAGCUGUCAUGUUUUUAAACUUUUAAUAUGCCUCCUGCAACACAGCUCUGUAAAAUAAGGUACAGCGAUCAUGUUCCCUCUAAUCUGAAUUUGGAAGUUAAUACCCCACCAAUUGUACAGUGAGUUGCCUGCAACAACAAAAAGACAAAAUACUAUAAUUAUAGUGAGUCACUCAAUUCCAUUCAGAACCUGGAUUGCAUUCCAUAGAGCUAGGAGAGCAUACACACCGUCCCCUGCAAUAGAUUUGUGACAGGAAAUUAGGGCAAGCAUUCUCAUUCGUAAUGAAUGCAAUAAUAAAAUCAGCAGAAAUACAAGAGACGAGCAAGGAGAAAACUGCAGUUGAAUGCUAUACAGAAGCUUAUAAAACUGUUGGAUUAUUUAUUUUACAAGUGCAAAGUAGGACUGUAUGAAAAGGCCAACGACUUCUCACUUCUCGAAGAUAUUGAAGUUGGGCUCCUCCAAUGGCAAGAAAGCUAUACGAACUUGGCAGCCCUAGAUCUAUAGCUUGCAAAUCCAAAGAUUUCACAUUUUAGAGGCAUGGGGAAGGGCAACAUAAAGGAGGAGGGAUGGUGGCGCUACAGGAAUGAUAUCAAUAAUAGGGUCAAAAUAAAUAAAAAACUUCAGCCAAAGGACCCUCUUGUAACCUCCAGGAAGGAAAAGAAAGAAAAAGGAAUUGGGUUUACUCCUGCAUCUUCCUGUGGGUGAUCAAAGAGGGGUGAGAUCCGAAUGGCUUGGUUCCCAAAACCUAUUUUGUUUAAUCUAACUAUGCCUACCUACAAGGUAGUAUGUAAAUUUAUUGAGCAAAAUUCCUAAAAGUAAAAGUAUGCUUUAUUUUUCAAGUAAUAUACAA